AAUGAACGUUGGCGGCGUGGAUUAGGCAUGCAAGUCGAGCGGAAAGGCCCGCAAGGGCACUCGAGCGGCGUAAGGGACAGUAAUGUGUAGGUAACGUACCCCUGGGUCUAGGAUAGCUGCGGGAAACUGCAAUUAAUACUAGAUAACGUCUCCGGACCAAAGGUGUGAUUCCACCUGGGGAGCGGCCUACAUCCUAUUAGCUAGUUGGCGAGGUAAUGGCUCACCAAGGCGAAGAUGGGUAGCAGGUGUGAGAGCACGACCUGCGUCACUGGGGCGGAGACACUGCCCAGACACCUACGGGUGGCUGCAGUCGAGAAUCUUCGGCAAUGGGCGAAAGCCUGACCGAGCGACGCCGCGUGUGGGAUGAAGGCCUUCGGGUUGUAAACCGCUGUCGUAGGGGAGCAAGAGAUGAGGGUACUCCCUCUGAUUUGAGCGAUCCUAGGAGGAAGGACGGGCUAAGUUCGUGCCAGCCGCCGCCGUAAGAC
rnacentral:rRNA from 1 species